GUUGAACGCUGGCGGCAUGCCUUACACAUGCAAGUCAAACGGCAGCACGGGAGCAAUCCUGGUGGCGAGUGGCGAACGGGUGAGUAAAGUAUCGGAACGUGCCCAGUCGUGGGGGAUAACGUAGCGAAAGUUACGCUAAUACCGCAUACGAUCUACGGAUGAAAGCGGGGGAUCGCAGGACAUCGCGCGAUUGGAGCGGCUGAGAUCAGAUUAGGUAGUUAGUGGGGGAAAGGCUCACCAAGCCGACGACCUGUAGCUGGUCUGAGAGGACGACCAGCCACACUGGGACUGAGACACGGCCCAGACUCCUACGGGAGGCAGCAGUGGGGAAUUUUGGACAAUGGGCGCAAGCCUGAUCCAGCCAUGCCGCGUGCAGGAUGAAGGCCUUCGGGUUGUAAACUGCUUUUGUACGGAACGAAAAGGUUUGGCCUAAUAAGCUGGACCCAUGACGGUACCGUAAGAAUAAGCACCGGCUAACUACGUGCCAGCCGCCGCGGUAA
rnacentral:rRNA from 1 species